rnacentral:lncRNA from 1 species
CUGCAAUCUCGAACUCCUGGGCUCAAGUGAUCCUCCCGCACCUCAGCCUCUGAGUAGCUGAACUACAGGCACUGUUGCCAACCCUCGUGGAAAAGAUCUGUUUGUGUUAGCUAUUCAGGCAUGAAUAUUGGAAUUUGAAAACAAAGAACAUGAUCUAGUAAGCUCAUGGGACUUAUCCUUCCAGAGGAAAAUGUUCCCCGUGUCUACACACUGUCCCGCAGCAGAUGCGCUCACCCUUCUACAACCAGAGGUGUGUUCACGCCAGAUGUGUUCUGUUUAGGGCUGGGGUCAGCAAGUAUAUUUGCGUCUUAGAUAAAAUAACUUAGUGCCAACGUGUGUCUGAGUCACGGAGCCAUGAAUUUGGAUUCCAUACCACCCAGGCAGGCUGAAACUCUGGGUAGAUGUGGAAAGGGUUUAAAGAUAUUUCAGAAUGUCACAAAGAACUGUGAGCUCUGAGAAAACUCUAUCAUGAGUUUAGUGCAAAGUACUUGAGCACAGGAAAUCCCAUCAGAGGAGAGCUCAGUUUGGUCCAGUGAAAUUCCAUGAACAGAAUCCUGAGACGCCUCUGGGCUUCGGUUCAGGUAACUUCAAUACAGAGAAGAGGUUGCAAAAGAAGGUUCUUCUCACCAAGUCAAUCCUAAGCCAAAAGAACAAAGCUGGAGGCAUCACGAUACCUGACUUCAAACUAUACUACAAGGCUACAGUAACCAAA